GAUGAACGCUGGCGGCGUGCCUAAUACAUGCCAGUCGAGCGAACAGACGAGGAGCUUGCUCCUCUGACGUUAGCGGCGGACGGGUGAGUAACACGUGGAUCACCUACCCAUAAGACUGGGAUAACUUCGGGAAACCGGAGCUAAUACCGGAUAAUAUAUUGAACCGCAUGGUUCAAUAGUGAAAGACGGUUUUGCUGUCACUUAUAGAUGGAUCCGCGCCGCAUUAGCUAGUUGGUAAGGUAACGGCUUACCAAGGCAACGAUGCGUAGCCGACCUGAGAGGGUGAUCGGCCACACUGGAACUGAGACACGGUCCAGACUCCUACGGGAGGCAGCAGUAGGGAAUCUUCCGCAAUGGGCGAAAGCCUGACGGAGCAACGCCGCGUGAGUGAUGAAGGUCUUCGGAUCGUAAAACUCUGUUAUUAGGGAAGAACAAAUGUGUAAGUAACUAUGCACGUCUUGACGGUACCUAAUCAGAAAGCCACGGCUAACUACGUG
rnacentral:rRNA from 1 species